UACGUAGGGCGCAAGCGUUGUCCGGAAUUAUUGGGCGUAAAGAGCUCGUAGGCGGUUUGUCGCGUCUGUCGUGAAAGCUUGGGGCUUAACCCCAAGUCUGCGGUGGAUACGGGCAGACUAGAGGCAGGUAGGGGAGAACGGAAUUCCCGGUGUAGCGGUGAAAUGCGCAGAUAUCGGGAGGAACACCGGUGGCGAAGGCGGUUCGCUGGGCCUGUACUGACGCUGAGGAGCGAAAGCGUGGGGAGCGAACAGG
rnacentral:rRNA from 1 species